rnacentral:rRNA from 1 species
AGUCGAACGGACUUAAUCGAAAUAUUUAUAUUUUGAAGCGGUUAGUGGCGGACUGGUGAGUAACGCGUAAGGAACCUGCCUAUUAGAGGGGAAUAACAGUGAGAAAUCAUUGCUAAUACCGCAUAUGCCAUAGAUAUCACAUGAUAACAGUGGGAAAGGAGCAAUCCGCUAAUAGAUGGCCUUGCGUCUGAUUAGAUAGUUGGUGGGGUAACGGCCUACCAAGUCGACGAUCAGUAGCCGGACUGAGAGGUUGAACGGCCACAUUGGGACUGAGAUACGGCCCAGACUCCUACGGGAGGCAGCAGUCGGGAAUAUUGCGCAAUGGAGGAAACUCUGACGCAGUGACGCCGCGUAUAGGAAGAAGGUUUUCGGAUUGUAAACUAUUGUCGUUAGGGAAGAGAAAGGACAGUACCUAAGGAGGAAGCUCCGGCUAACUACGUGCCAGCAGCCGCGGUAAUACGUAGGGAGCGAGCGUUAUCCGGAAUUAUUGGGUGUAAAGGGUGCGUAGACGGGAGAACAAGUUAGUUGUGAAAUACCUCGGCUCAACUGAGGAACUGCAACUAAAACUGUACUUCUUGAGUGCAGGAGAGGUAAGUGGAAUUCCUAGUGUAGCGGUGAAAUGCGUAGAUAUUAGGAGGAACACCAGUGGCGAAGGCGACUUACUGGACUGUAACUGACGUUGAGGCACGAAAGUGUGGGGAGCAAACAGGAUUAGAUACCCUGGUAGUCCACACCGUAAACGAUGGAUACUAGGUGUAGGAGGUAUUAAGCCUUCUGUGCCGUCGC